rnacentral:rRNA from 1 species
UACGGAGGAGGCAAGCGUUAUCCGGCCUUAUUGGGCGUAAAGCGUCCGUAGGUGGUUGACCAAGUCUGCUGUCAAAGGGUGGGGCUUAACCUCAUAAAGGCAGUGGAAACUGGUGAGCUAGAGUGCGGUAGGGGUAAGGGGAAUUCCCAGUGUAGCGGUGAAAUGCGUAGAGAUUGGGAAGAACAUCGGUGGCGAAAGCGCCUUGCUGGGCCUGCACUGACACUGAGGGACGAAAGCUAGUGGAGCGAAAGGG